rnacentral:rRNA from 1 species
CAAACCUUGAAAUUUGGAUAUAGAUGGAAAAUAGGGACAUGAGACAAGAUUAGGUUUUGGGAAGAUACUUGGUUUGGAACCUCCCCCCUAGCAGUACAAUUCUAGCACAUCUACAUGAUUUGCAGUGAGCAAAACAAAAGUGUCAGAGAUGUCUGGGAUGGUGAAACACUGAAGUUG